UAAAAUCAAUAAGAGUAGGCUUGGGCCGCUACCCGUGCAAAAUUCAAAAUUUUUUACUAACUAAUAAUGUUUAAUGCAUCCCUGGCGCUCAUAUGACCUUAUGCAGUUGCGAACACCGCGAAACACUUACCAAAAACAACGCGAAGUAUGUUUUCUAAAAUCAAAUAAUGCCAUGUCUUUUACUGCGUCUCAUCGAGAACGAGGAAGAAGAAGAAGCGAGAACUGCAUCUCGUGAACUCAUCUCAACGAAUAAGGAUCUAUUUAUUAUUUUCUAUGUUGAUAUGUUUACUGAACAGAUUUCAUUUUUUGAACAAGAAUUGAAACUGGAGCAAAUCCGUUCUCCCCUCAGUUCUAUCCGUGUAUAGUUGGGAAAUGGGGACGGAGGAGGAGAAUAUUUAUUUUGUGCGUAACGUUUUGACUCUUGUACGAGAGACUUCGAAGUGACAGUAAAAAUGGUUCUGUCUUUUUUUUUUUCAACUUUGCAUUUUCAGUGAUUGCUGUUUCAUAAUAUGUACAGAAAAACAUUCCAACAGUCUUUCUUGAAUAUCUGUGGCCUUUUACAUUUGCUGUGUUGUUUCACGUAUUUGAAAUGUAAAAUGCACAUAUGAGUGGUUACUAUGUCCGUCAGUAACACUUUGUGGUUGAAAGUUCAAUUUGUAUUUUUAUUCGGAGCGUUGUCUCAACAUGUGAUGCCUGUAGAUGAUGUUCAUCUUUUGAAGUAGCUGUUUUCUGCUUUUAUAAGUUUGUUGUCGUAAUUGCCAUUCCAAUAUACCUGAGCUGAGCUGAGACUAGCUUUUUAGUAUGGCAUAGCUUGUUCACGUUCUUCUGUCUGCAGUAAAAGUUUUACUAAAACAAGAUAUAACUAAUCCCUCUGUUUAAUCUUCUCAGGCCUUUUCGUGCGAGUCGAAAAGUUGGGUGACCUUCAGAAUCUGACCUUUAACUGUGAACAGACAAAAGUGGAGAAGCAAUGAAGUCUAAGCCCUGUAUAUUUUGUAUUUUCUUAAUUUUAAAAAAAAGGUUAUUUAAAGUAGUAGGUGUAGUGUUUUGUACUAGUUUACUACAAAGUUUGUAGAACCAAGACGUUGUGAAAUAAAGGCAAAUAGACAAGGCUUGUUUCCUGUCUCAGCCGUGGGGGAUGACGCCCUUUUUGAAACUUCAUUUUGUCGGCCAGCCUUUCAGAUGUACAAGGCUCAAAAUUUUGGGGUUUUUUUUCGGGUAGUUUUUUAAUCAGUGGCAUAGGCUGCAGACACUGGAGAAAUAUUUCAUUGAAAUUCAAAUUCCCAAUGUUGAAAAAAAGCAGGAAAAGAUCAGAUACAUAAUGUCGAGAUUUUCUUUCUCCUGUUAAAAAUGUACUUUCUGGGCUUAGGACUUUUGGAACAGUUUGUUGAGGGUUUGUUACGUAACUUUAGCUGUGGUUGAGGUCAUUGAUACCUUUAUGUAACUGAAAUUUCCUGGAAUCACGCAGUUUUUGACCAUCUCUUUUUUUCUCCCUUGAAUCAAAUUGAGCUUGACUAUCUUUUUCCGUUUUUUGAAUCAAAUUGAGCUUGACAAUCUUUUUCCAUUGAAUUAAGUAGCACUGUACGUAAGCCAUCUUUCCCUUGAACCAAGUAACACCGUACGUAAGCCAUCUUUCCCUUGAACCAAGUAACACCGUACGUAAAACAUCUUUCCCUUGAACCAAGUAACACCGUACGUAAAACAUCUUUCCCUUGAACCAAGUAACACCGUACGUAAAACAUCUUUUUCCCUUGAACCAAGUAACACCGUACGUAAACCAUCUUUCCCUUGAAUCAAGUAACACUGUACGUAAACCAUCUUUCCCUUGAAUUAAGUAACACUGUAACUAAACCAUCUUUCCCUUGAAUCAAGUAACACCGUACGUAAACCAUCUUUUCCCCUUGAAGCAAGUAACACCGUACGUAAACCAUCUUUUCCCCUUGAAUCAAGUAACACUGUACGUAAACCAUCUUUUCCCCUUGAAUCAAGUAGUCCUUGACUAUCUGUACUGUUGUAUAGAACUUUGUCACCCUCAGAAAGUCACCCUGCUCUGACUCUGUUUUGUUUUUUUACGUCAAUAACAUUUUACCCACUCUCUAUCCAGCUCAGUCUAUCCAUGAGUUUAGAUUGAUGAGUUCAGCCAAUUUUUCCUCUAACAAACAUCCCUAUUAUGAACUGCUUAGUG
rnacentral:lncRNA from 1 species